UUCYGKUUGAUCCUGCCAGACCUGACUGCUAUCGGAUUGAUACUAAGCCAUGCGAGUCAUUGUAGCAAUACAAGGCAGACGGCUCAGUAACGCGUAGUCAAUCUACCCUAUGGACGGGAAUAACCUCGGGAAACUGAGAAUAAUGCCCGAUAGAACAUUAUACCUGGAACGGUUUAUGUUUCAAAUGAUUUAUCGCCGUAGGAUAGGACUGCGGCCUAUCAGUUUGUUGGUGAGGUAAUGGCCCACCAAGACUAUUACAGGUACGGGCUCUGAGAGGAGUAGCCCGGAGAUGGGUACUGAGACACGGACCCAGGCCCUAUGGGGCGCAGCAGGCGAGAAAACUUUGCAAUGUGCGAAAGCACGACAAGGUUAAUCCGAGUGGUUUCUGCUAAAGAAACCUUUUGCUAGUCCUAGAAACACUAGUGAAUAAGGGGUGGGCAAGUUCUGGUGUCAGCCGCCGCGGUAAAACCAGCACCUCAAGUGGUCAGGAUGAUUAUUGGGCCUAAAGCAUCCGUAGCUCGUUUUGUAAGUUUUCGGUUAAAUCCAUACGCUUAACGUAUGGGCUGCCGGGAAUACUGCAUAACUAGGAAGUGGGAGAGGUAGACGGUACUCGGUAGGAAGGGGUAAAAUCCUUUGAUCUAUUGAUGACAACCUGUGGCGAAGGCGGUCUACCAGAACACGUUCGACGGUGAGGGAUGAAAGCUGGGGGAGCAAACCGGAUUAGAUACCCGGGUAGUCCCAGCUGUAAACUAUGCAAACUCAGUGAUGCAUUGGCUUGUGGCCAAUGCAGUGCUGCAGGGAAGCCGUUAAGUUUGCCGCCUGGGAAGUACGUACGCAAGUAUGAAACUUAAAGGAAUUGGCGGG
rnacentral:rRNA from 1 species